rnacentral:lncRNA from 1 species
CUCACAGUGCUGUCUUCUCCCUCCACCCAUGGAUCCGGAGCACCAUGGCUGCUCUCUUUCCUCCUCUGGGUUAUUUGGACAGCUCAAGAAGGAAGAGCAAGUGUGACAUUCAAUUCAGAUCAAUGGACAGGCAUGGCCCACAAGUCUGACUGCAGAAAUCUCAGCGAAGGAGCCAAGAGCUGCUGUUGGCCCUGUUCUACACUACUGAAGGAAAGUAUUAUACAGAGCUAUUCCAGAGUUCCAUAAAAGAUGGUUUCUUCAUUGUUCACCCUUGGAUAAGUGGGGAAUUGACUCAAGAGGGGCAGUAAACUCUUAAAUGUUCAUAUAUACAUAAUGGAAGAGUGCCAUUAGGGCCCAAAUAUCAAAGAUAAAUGUUUUGUGUUGUUGCUCUUUGUUGGUUUGAGACAGAGUCUCACCAUGUAGCCCUGGCUGGCCUAUAACGUCACAAAUCAGGCUGGCUUUGAACUCACUGAGAUCCUUCUGCCCGACUCUGAGUUUAAAGAUGUUUGCCACCAUGCCCAGCUUGCCAAGGAUUUUUUUUUUCAUUUGUAUUCAUAGAAUUGAUUGACACGGACAUCAGCUCUUUGCCUGAAUGAUUCAGGGCAAAGGCUGUAGAGACAGCUCAUCCAGCAGGAAGGCAGAAUCUCCAUGCUGUAGGAAGAUUAUGGCAGGCAAGUUCUUGAAGAACAACAACAAUGACAAAAACAAAUGACCAACUAUCUCAGAGAUAGAGACAGUAUCCCUGACAGUGUUCCUGCCCCAUUGUUUCUACGCUAGAGGAUGGAGUAGUUUGUUGGGAGGGACUUUCUUAGCCAAUUUCUUCGGUGGGCAAAAUGAUGACUCCAAUGACUGAUUCUAAUUCUGGUACCACAUCCCCCCAACCUUUCAGUCCUCAUUUGAUCGUGUCAACUGCCCCAAACUUUAAUCACAAUAGGAUUUAGUUACUUAGUUAUUUUUGCCUGCCCUAGUGCUGGCUACUUAGCUGGUCUGUAGCCCAUCUUCAGGAGUAUCACCUAGGACUUACUAGGGAAAUAGAACCCACGCUCUACCCUAGACCUUCAUUUACUUAAUCAAGAUUCUCAAGUCAAUUUUCUACAUAUUAGGCUGUGGGAAACUCUUUUCACAUUUUUCCUGUAACUAUGCUGCAACCCCCUCCAACAACAACAAAAGACCAACUAUGCUAUAAAAAAAAAGACAACAAAGCCAAAAGACAACCAGUAAUCUAAGAAGAAAACCAUUGUCUAUA